CGGAAGUGCCAAAACAGCAUAUGGCUGACGAUGAUGAGGGAGAGCAGAAAAGCCUCGACAAGUAUGGGUUAUCUUCAGAGUUCUCGUCGAACAAGAAAAGGAGGCGGACAACCAGUGGACAGAACAAGGUGAAGAAAGGAGGGAAAAGAUCAAAAGAUUCACAUCUCGAUGUUGACAGUGGCCUUCUUGCUAGAGUCAGGUGGUUUAGAGUUAUAUAUUAGAUGAAUUUCAAACCAUAAAGAAUCACAGAACUCAAGUGGCCAGAGCCUUCUGUGGUCUUCGAGCCAAAUGAAGAUGGUGUUUAUUGGGAACGCCCAUGCAGAAUGCAAUUGAUGAUCUUUACAGUUAUUUCUGCUUCCUGAAGUAUGACCCUUAAUCUGUCUAUAGUUCCUUCUGUGCUUCUAUAAAAUAUCCAAUAUCUAGAAAUACAAGCAGUGGAUAUAGGAAACUUCAGGUUGUCCUGAAAGCGCUUUACUUCUUCAUCGCACAAAAGGUAUUUUAAUCAUUUAAAAUUUGUUUUCCCUGGCUAGCAACAAUUUGUUUUCCCUUAACUGGAAUUGAUAGAUCAGUAUAGAUCAGCAAAAAAGUGCCCAGUUGUUGUGCUUAAUAACUGUUUCAGGGUUAGUUUCUUUUAUCCGUUUGUACCAUUUAGCUCUUAGGAUGAACAGAGAUAAUUUGAUUCAAUUAAACUUGGUCUAAAUUGCUUGACUUCAUCAGACUGAUAGGAUUUAGUUGAAGUAUUCAAGUUUCAGUGGCAUGGCUGGUGUCAGUCAUUGCCUUGCUCCAAGCGAUCUAUGUCAAAGACCAAAAGAAAACAUGUCUAGUGUUCCAUUCCUCUUCCCAUGUGUUUUCUUCCGCUAUACAAUCCUUUGGCGAAAUCAAAGAAAAGGUGUUACAAAAGGUUGAGCAAGUGACCUGGGAAUAUGUGGCACACUUAUUGACGGGGAGCAGAUUCUUAAGUUACCUCCAAAAUCAAUUUGCCUGAAAAAGGUAGAUUUUUCUCAGGAGGAAUGAGAAUUUUAUUUAAAUCCGGAGGUGGAUUCAUGCCAACAGUUCAAGGCAUAUGCUGCUGCUGGGACCUUGAAACAAAACUAUGCGAGCAUUUUGUUAUUGCUUUUGCGACUUCAGCAGGCUUGUGAUCAUCCCCUUCUUGUCAAAGGAUUUAACUCGGACCCGCAAAAUAUUCGUUUGAUAUGGCAAGGCAACUUCCUAGGGAGAUGAUGAUCAAUCUACUUAAUCAGUUGGAAGGUUCUUUAGCCAUUUGUGCUG